ACUUAAAUUGAAGAGUUUGAUCAUGGCUCAGAUUGAACGCUGGCGGCAGGCCUAACACAUGCAAGUCGAGCGGUAGCACAGAGAGCUUGCUCUCGGGUGACGAGCGGCGGACGGGUGAGUAAUGUCUGGGAAACUGCCUGAUGGAGGGGGAUAACUACUGGAAACGGUAGCUAAUACCGCAUAACGUCGCAAGACCAAAGUGGGGGACCUUCGGGCCUCAUGCCAUCAGAUGUGCCCAGAUGGGAUUAGCUAGUAGGUGGGGUAAUGGCUCACCUAGGCGACGAUCCCUAGCUGGUCUGAGAGGAUGACCAGCCACACUGGAACUGAGACACGGUCCAGACUCCUACGGGAGGCAGCAGUGGGGAAUAUUGCACAAUGGGCGCAAGCCUGAUGCAGCCAUGCCGCGUGUGUGAAGAAGGCCUUCGGGUUGUAAAGCACUUUCAGCGGGGAGGAAGGCGAUAAGGUUAAUAACCUUGUCGAUUGACGUUACCCGCAGAAGAAGCACCGGCUAACUCCGUGCCAGCAGCCGCGGUAAUACGGAGGGUGCAAGCGUUAAUCGGAAUUACUGGGCGUAAAGCGCACGCAGGCGGUCUGUCAAGUCGGAUGUGAAAUCCCCGGGCUCAACCUGGGAACUGCAUUCGAAACUGGCAGGCUAGAGUCUUGUAGAGGGGGUAGAAUUCCAGGUGUAGCGGUGAAAUGCGUAGAGAUCUGGAGGAAUACCGGUGGCGAAGGCGGCCCCCUGGACAAAGACUGACGCUCAGGUGCGAAAGCGUGGGGAGCAAACAGGAUUAGAUACCCUGGUAGUCCACGCCGUAAACGAUGUCGAUUUGGAGGUUGUGCCCUUGAGGCGUGGCUUCCGGAGCUAACGCGUUAAAUCGACCGCCUGGGGAGUACGGCCGCAAGGUUAAAACUCAAAUGAAUUGACGGGGGCCCGCACAAGCGGUGGAGCAUGUGGUUUAAUUCGAUGCAACGCGAAGAACCUUACCUGGUCUUGACAUCCACAGAACUUUCCAGAGAUGGAUUGGUGCCUUCGGGAACUGUGAGACAGGUGCUGCAUGGCUGUCGUCAGCUCGUGUUGUGAAAUGUUGGGUUAAGUCCCGCAACGAGCGCAACCCUUAUCCUUUGUUGCCAGCGGUUAGGCCGGGAACUCAAAGGAGACUGCCAGUGAUAAACUGGAGGAAGGUGGGGAUGACGUCAAGUCAUCAUGGCCCUUACGACCAGGGCUACACACGUGCUACAAUGGCAUAAACAAAGAGAAGCGACCUCGCGAGAGCAAGCGGACCUCAUAAAGUAUGUCGUAGUCCGGAUUGGAGUCUGCAACUCGACUCCAUGAAGUCGGAAUCGCUAGUAAUCGUAGAUCAGAAUGCUACGGUGAAUACGUUCCCGGGCCUUGUACACACCGCCCGUCACACCAUGGGAGUGGGUUGCAAAAGAAGUAGGUAGCUUAACCUUCGGGAGGGCGCUUACCACUUUGUGAUUCAUGACUGGGGUGAAGUCGUAACAAGGUAACCGUAGGGGAACCUGCGGUUGGAUCACCUCCUUACCUUAAAGAA
rnacentral:rRNA from 1 species